rnacentral:lncRNA from 1 species
AACCAUAUAAUACAUAUCAAAAUUAAGAAGCAGAAGAGAAGAGCAAGCUCUAGCAAAUUAAGGCAUGGAAGGCUUAAUUCCAUUUCUCCUCCACACCCUCCAGAAGCAGAAGCCUCACAACGGUUACCGUUCCCUUUCCGACACCUCUAACCGGAGCUACCACAUUCUGAUGGGAGCCAACAAUGACGAGGGCUCGUCUCAUCGUCGAACAAGGUCGGAAUUUCAGCCAUACGUGGUGGUUAAUUUAUCGGAGAAACGAAACUUAAACAAAGGUUCUACUCUUAUAACAUCAAAUGCAACUGUCUCGAGGCAAAUUGGCUCUAGUAAUUUUCAAGUUUCAAGAGAUACAAAUGUUAAUAUUAGACAAAAAAACUAGAGUAUUUUAGUGUAACGUCUUGUCGUCUUAAAACGAGAGUCAUGUUUGAUUUGUCGAUUUUUUUUAAAUGCAUAUUGAGAAUUGCGAAUGAUAUAUAUAUAUAUAUAUAUAUAUAUAUAUAUAUAUAUAUAUAUAUUAUUGACAAAUUUUAAUAGGCAUAAGAAAAAUUAACAAUUCAAAUAGGAUCCUUAUUUAAUGACUAUGGGAAUAUUAUUGUGUAAUUGUAUUAAUUUGUAGUAAGGAUCAACAUUUGAUUUCUUAGUUCAUUCAAUUGUAACUAAACAUGGCUUUUGAAUUAAUAAUUUUGUUGUAAGAUUUUUAUUUUAAUUCUGCUUUUUGAUCUUAGCUUGAUUAAUAUUCCAUUCCAUUAUAUGCACGACAGUUUCGGCAUCCAAAUUGUAUUUCAAUUUGAUCAAAGACGGUGUAAACACGAGGACUUAUUAUUAGUCAAUUGAAGAUAAAGAUUGGCUGGUCGGAAUUUGCUGCUUGCUAGUUGGUAGUAAUCAAAUUGCUUGACUUUUGGUCAAUUACUUUUAUUUUAAGAAUUAAUAUUUUUAUAAGUAAAAAUGAUAAUUUCACAAAUUUUUUAUCACAUAAAAAUUAAAUGAGUCUUACACAGUGGCGGAACCUUAAUAUUUUUAGACUGAUAUUAAGGUUCAAAUUUCAAAGAUAAUAAAUUAAAAUUAAAGAUAUUAAGGUGGAUAAUAUUUUUAAUAUUUUUAGACUGAUAUUAUAAGAAUGAUAUUUAAGAUUCAAAUUUCAAAGAUAAUUUGGACAAAGAAAUUAAAUUAAAUUCCGUCGUGAAUAUUACUCCGACAUGAAUAGUACUCCGACAUGAAUAAUAUUCCGGAUGAAUAGAUUAAAAUAUAAUAAGAAAGUUUAGACCAAUAUUCAAGUUAAUUGAUACUAGAUGAAGCGCAAAUUAUUAAGGAUAUUCUACUAAUUUCAGGGAUUUUCACUGUAAGACCCCAACUUUUAUGAAUAAAAAUGAAUUUUCUAUAAAUAUCAUUUUUGAAUAUUAUGGAAUAAAUUUGAUAUAAUGUUAUAGUUGUGGGUAAUAUUUAUAAAUUUUGCAAAGUACGCAAGUUGUUAUAUAAUAUUCGAUUGGACAGGGAAUAUUCGUACGACGGCACAAUCAUUGGUGGACCCCACAAUAGAAUUAUUGUCGGAUUGAGAAAACGACAAAAAUAUUUUUAUGAAAAUAAUGGCGGAAGUUUUACCGUUGAUACUGUUGAACUACUCGGUAGUAAAAGUACAGUAAUACGCUUGGUUGCAUAGUAGCAAACGGUAUUGAUUAUUAAUGUUUA